rnacentral:lncRNA from 1 species
GGUUUCAUAAGGGGUAUUGUAUUAGUCUGUUCUCACACUGCUAUAAAGAACUGCCUGAGAGAUUAGGUAAUUUAUAAAGAAAAGAGGUUUAAUUGACUCACAGUUCCCCAUGAUUGUGGUGGUGGGGCGGCGGGGGUGCCUCAGGAAACUUACAAUCACGGCAGAAGGCAUCUCUUCACAGGAUGGCAGGAGACAGAAAUAGGUGCGGAACAACGGAGGAAGCCCCUUAUAAAACCAUCAGAUCUCGCCAGAACGCACUCACCCUCACGAGAACAGUAUGGGGGAAACUGCCCCCAUGAUUCAAUUAUCACCACCUGGUCCUGUCCUUGACAGCUGGAGAUUAUUACAAUUCAAGCGUGAGGAUUUAAGGAAGAUAGAUGGUACAAGAUGUUGUCUCCUCCGCAGACGCUUUCUGCUCUG